rnacentral:rRNA from 1 species
GGCGGUUUGUUAAGUCAGAUGUGAAAUCCCCGGGCUCAACCUGGGAACUGCAUCUGAUACUGGCAAGCUUGAGUCUCGUAGAGGGGGGUAGAAUUCCAGGUGUAGCGGUGAAAUGCGUAGAGAUCUGGAGGAAUACCGGUGGCGAAGGCGGCCCCCUGGACGAAGACUGACGCUCAGGUGCGAAAGCGUGGGGAGCAAACAGGAUUAGAUACCCUGGUAGUCCACGCCGUAAACGAUGUCGACUUGGAGGUUGUGCCCUUGAGGCGUGGCUUCCGGAGCUAACGCGUUAAGUCGACCGCCUGGGGAGUACGGCCGCAAGGUUAAAACUCAAAUGAAUUGACGGGGGCCCGCACAAGCGGUGGAGCAUGUGGUUUAAUUCGAUGCAACGCGAAGAACCUUACCUGGUCUUGACAUCCACGGAAGUUUUCAGAGA